AAGUAGCUACUGAAUCAUAUAAGUGUCUUAUGUGAUGUCGUAAGGGAAAAUAAUGAUAUUACCUUACUAAUAGUGUCGUCUAAAACUGGUGCCAGAAGACUCGGUAAGGCCAGAGACACAAAUGUUAAUCGUCUUAAUCAGGCGUAAAGGGUUUGUAGGCUGCUUUGAAAGUAUUGAUUUAGCAUAGCCAAAGUAAAUCAGUAUGAAUUAAAGCUAGAAUCUAAUAGAGGAUAUUUACGAAAUAAUGCUUGGUCGAGGGCUGAUAUCCGAAGACAUCAAGUGGAGUUCCAAUGGCGUAAGCAUUUAUCCAUUAAAGAUUGACGCUGAGAAACGAAGGUGAGGAUAGGAAAUAGGAUUAGAUACCCAGAUACCCCUCUCUGUCAACGAUGAAUGGUAGUUGUUAGUUUAAUACAAACUAGUGACGAAGUUAACACGAUAACCAUUCCGCCUUGUGAGUACGACUGCAAAGUUGAAAACAAAAAAAUUAGUCGGUCUCGGAGCAAACGAAGUGAAGUAUGUUAUUUAAUUCGA
rnacentral:rRNA from 1 species